AUAUAUAUAUAUAUAGGUUGCUGUAUGUCUUUAUUAAGCAUAUUGCCUUUACAUAUACCAAAUGACAUUGUGAAAUAACCGAAUGAAAGAAUAGAUUGUUUUGUUUAAAAAUAAUCUUUAAUUUUGUAGGGGGGGGUCUUCUUCCCCUUGUAGGUAGAGAGAGAGUGUGUGUGUGUGUGAGAGAGAGAGAGAGAGAGAGAGAGAGAGAGAGAGAGAUGCUAAGGGAUGAGGCGUAAAAAAAGAAAAACAGACAUGCUGGACUCAUCUCGUCUCUGGCAUGCGAAACAGAAACAAGAUCAGCGAGCGAGGAUGCGCCUCCCAGUCGAAGCCCCUGAGUCCGCCUCGUGAUGCAGUCUCCAUAGCGACUACAGUUUCCUGGGAAGGAAGGAACUCAUAGAGGUUUCCGCUGAUGGGCGUCAAUAUCACACAAUCAGCUGAGCUGUGGCCCUAUUCCAAACAGUGAAAGCAACACAGUUUUAAAGAUCUUUCAAAUAGAUCCACGCCGUGCCUAGGACUGUUCAUCAACCAUUCCACUGAAAAGGAGGCUUUCAAAGCACAGGAACAAGCCCAUAUGAGGACAGAGCGAUGAAGUCCACAUCACUCUGUAUUGUCCUCUCUGCCAGAUCAACAUUCUAGAAGUGGCCUUUUUCUCUGGAUAUACUGCCAGGCCGAAUCUAGAUUACCAGUGAGAAGAUAUCUUUGUACCACUCAAGAUGGCAGCUGUGAACCUUUGAAAUAGUUGGACAGAAGCUGACCAUCUUUGUAACUGUCCACUGCUGUAGGACAUAUAUACUGAGGAUUUUGAUGUGUCCUUCAUGUAUUCAGAGUUUGUGAUGUUAUCAAACCAGAUGUCUGCGUAUGAAUUUGUCAUCAUUAAGACACUGCCUACUUACUGGCUAUAUAAUUCACUGCCUAUUUAUUGACUAUAUUAGACAUUCCAAUCACUGAAAAUAUUAAACUUUAUGAUGCGCUGCACUAAUAAAAGAAAUGGGUUGUCAGAGCAACGCGAAGAGAAAAAACA